UACGUAGGGGGCAAGCGUUAUCCGGAUUUACUGGGUGUAAAGGGAGCGUAGACGGUGAUGCAAGUCAGAAGUGAAAGCCCGGGGCUCAACUCCGGGACUGCUUUUGUAACUGCGUGGCUGGAGUGCAGGAGGGGCAGGCGGAAUUCCUGGUGUAGCGGUGAAAUGCGUAGAUAUCAGGAGGAACACCGGUGGCGAAGGCGGCCUGCUGGACUGCAACUGACGUUGAGGCCCGAAAGCGUGGGGAGCAAACAGG
rnacentral:rRNA from 1 species